UUGGAGGGCAAGUCUGGUGCCAGCAGCCGCGGUAAUUCCAGCUCCAAUAGCGUAUAUUAAAGUUGUUGCAGUUAAAAAGCUCGUAGUUGAAUUUCGGGGUUCUACCGUUGGUCGGGCUAACAAGUCUGUACUAGCGUGUAGAAUCUCUACCUUCUGGGGAACCAUCAUGUUAUUAAUUUAGCGUGGUGGGAAACCAGGACCUUUACCUUGAAAAAAUUAGAGUGUUCAAAGCAGGCUUACGUCUGAAUACAUUAGCAUGGAAUAAUAAAAUAGGACGGUGGU
rnacentral:rRNA from 1 species